UACAGAGGGUGCGAGCGUUAAUCGGAAUUACUGGGCGUAAAGCGCGCGUAGGCGGCUUUGCAAGUCGGGUGUGAAAUCCCCAGGCUUAACCUGGGAACUGCAUUCGAGACUGCAUUGCUAGAGUAUGGGAGAGGGAAGUGGAAUUUCCGGUGUAGCGGUGAAAUGCGUAGAUAUCGGAAGGAACAUCAGUGGCGAAAGCGACUUCCUGGACCAAUACUGACGCUCAUGUGCGAAAAGCGUGGGGAGCAAACAGG
rnacentral:rRNA from 1 species